UACGAAGGGGGCUAGCGUUGCUCGGAAUUACUGGGCGUAAAGGGCGCGUAGGCGGCACUGUUAGUCAGGCGUGAAAUUCCUGGGCUCAACCUGGGGACUGCGCUUGAUACGGCAGAGCUAGAGGAUGGAAGAGGCUCGCGGAAUUCCCAGUGUAGAGGUGAAAUUCGUAGAUAUCGGGAGGAACACCGGUGGCGAAGGCGGCGAUCUGGGUCGAUACUGACGCUGAGGUGCGAAAGCGUGGGGAGCAAACAGG
rnacentral:rRNA from 1 species